UCCUUCGGGACUGGGGACAGCGGCGAACGGGUGAGUAACACGUGGGUAAUCUGCCCUCGGCACUGGGAUAGCCCGGGGAAACCCGGAUUAAUACCGGAUAGCCUUUCGAGCCUUUGGGCUCGUCAGAAAAGGUGACUUCGGCUUCCGGCUGAGGAUGAGCCCGCGGCGGAUUAGCUUGUUGGUGGGGUAAUGGCCCACCAAGGCGACGAUCCGUAGCUGGUCUGAGAGGACGAUCAGCCACACUGGGACUGAGACACGGCCCAGACUCCUACGGGAGGCAGCAGUGGGGAAUCUUGCGCAAUGGGCGAAAGCCUGACGCAGCGACGCCGCGUGCGGGAAGAAGGCCUUCGGGUUGUAAACCGCUUUCAGGAGGGACGAAGCCACUCGGGUUAAUAGCCCAGAGGGUGACGGUACCUCCAGAAGAAGCCCCGGCUAACUACGUGCCAGCAGCCGCGGUAAUACGUAGGGGGCAAGCGUUGUCCGGAUUUAUUGGGCGUAAAGAGCGUGUAGGCGGCCAGGUAGGUCUGCUGUGAAAACUCGAGGCUCAACCUCGAGAUGUCGGUGGAAACCAUCUGGCUAGAGUCCGGAAGAGGAGAAUGGAAUUCCCGGUGUAGCGGUGAAAUGCGCAGAUAUCGGGAAGAACACCCGUGGCGAAGGCGGUUCUCUGGGACGGUACUGACGCUGAGACGCGAAAGCGUGGGGAGCGAACAGGAUUAGAUACCCUGGUAGUCCACGCCGUAAACGAUGGGAACUAGGUGUGGGCGGUGUCGACUCCGUCCGUGCCGAAGCUAACGCAUUAAGUUCCCCGCCUGGGGAGUACGGCCGCAAGGCU
rnacentral:rRNA from 1 species